CGGCUCCUGCAAAUAUCGCUUCUUUGAUGCAAGGGAGAGAAGAGCGUUGAUGAAUUCCUUGAUGAAUGAGCUCAUGUUUGGAGAUAUACUUUGAUCAGACAUCCACUCUUGGGUCAUUCUUCCUGAUCGGGCAAGAGCACCAUAAGCAAACAAACGACCUAAAAGACAAUCCCUUAUUUCCUGACCCUUCAUUGAUGAAGAAACC
rnacentral:misc_RNA from 1 species